UACGGGGGGGGCAAGCGUUGUUCGGAAUUACUGGGCGUAAAGGGCUCGUAGGCGGCCAAUUAAGUCAGACGUGAAAUCCCUCGGCUUAACCGGGGAACUGCGUCUGAUACUGGAUGGCUUGAGUUUGGGAGAGGGAUGCGGAAUUCCAGGUGUAGCGGUGAAAUGCGUAGAUAUCUGGAGGAACACCGGUGGCGAAGGCGGCAUCCUGGACCAACACUGACGCUGAGGAGCGAAAGCCAGGGGAGCAAACGGG
rnacentral:rRNA from 1 species